rnacentral:rRNA from 1 species
GAGGGGUAACAGGUGUAGCAAUACAUGCUGACGACCGGCGCACGGGUGCGUAACACGUAUAUAAUCUACCUUUUACUGGAGAAUAGCCCGAAGAAAUUCGGAUUAAUGCUCCAUAAUAUUAUUGGGAGGCAUCUCUUGAUAAUUAAAGUUCCGACGGUAAAAGAUGAGUAUGCGCGAUAUUAGCUAGUUGGUGAGGUAACGGCUCACCAAGGCGACGAUAUCUAGGGGUACUGAGAGGUUACACCCCCACACUGGUACUGAGACACGGACCAGACUCCUACGGGAGGCAGCAGUAAGGAAUAUUGGACAAUGGUCGCAAGACUGAUCCAGCCAUGCCGCGUGCAGGAUGAAUGCCCUAUGGGUUGUAAACUGCUUUUGUACGGGAAUAAACCCUACUACGUGUAGUAGGCUGAAUGUACCGUAAGAAUAAGGGUCGGCUAACUUCGUGCCAGCAGCCGCGGUAAGACGAAGGACCCAAGCGUUAUCCGGAUUCAUUGGGUUUAAAGGGUGCGUAGGCGGGUUGAUAAGUCAGUGGUGAAAGCCCAACGCUUAACGUUGGAACUGCCAUUGAUACUGUCGAUCUUGAAUGUGUUUGAUGUGGGCGGAAUAUGACAUGUAGCGGUGAAAUGCUUAGAUAUGUCAUAGAACACCGAUUGCGAAGGCAGCUCACAAAGCCAUAAUUGACGCUGAGGCACGAAAGCGUGGGGAUCAAACAGGAUUAGAUACCCUGGUAGUCCACGCCGUAAACUUUGAUCACUCGCUGUUGGCGAUACACUGUCAGCGGCUAAGCGAAAGCGUUAAGUGAUCCACCUGGGGAGUACGGUCGCAAGACUG